GACGAACGCUGGCGGCGUGCUUAACACAUGCAAGUCGAACGGAAAGGCCCUGCUUUUGUGGGGUGCUCGAGUGGCGAACGGGUGAGUAACACGUGAGUAACCUGCCCUUGACUUUGGGAUAACUUCAGGAAACUGGGGCUAAUACCGGAUAGGAGCACCUGCUGCAUGGUGGGGGUUGGAAAGUUUCGGCGGUUGGGGAUGGACUCGCGGCUUAUCAGCUUGUUGGUGGGGUAGUGGCUUACCAAGGCUUUGACGGGUAGCCGGCCUGAGAGGGUGACCGGCCACAUUGGGACUGAGAUGCGGCCCAGACUCCUACGGGAGGCAGCAGUGGGGAAUAUUGCACAAUGGGCGGAAGCCUGAUGCAGCAACGCCGCGUGCGGGAUGACGGCCUUCGGGUUGUAAACCGCUUUCGCCUGUGACGAAGCGUGAGUGACGGUAAUGGGUAAAGAAGCACCGGCUAACUACGUG
rnacentral:rRNA from 1 species